UCAGUCGUGGCCGAGUGGUUGAGGCGAUGGACUAGAAAUACAUUGGGGUCUCCCCGCACAGGUUUGAAUCCUGUCGACUGCG
rnacentral:tRNA from 2 species